GAGGGAGAAGCUUACUUCGGUAAGUGGAGACCGGCAGACGGGUGAGUAACACGUGGGAACAUACCUAGUGGUGGGGGAUAACAGUUGGAAACGACUGCUAAUACCGCAUACGCCCUUCGGGGGAAAGAUUUAUCGCCAUUAGAUUGGCCCGCGUUAGAUUAGCUAGUUGGUAAGGUAACGGCUUACCAAGGCGACGAUCUAUAGCUGGUUUGAGAGGAUGAUCAGCCACACUGGGACUGAGACACGGCCCAGACUCCUACGGGAGGCAGCAGUGGGGAAUAUUGCGCAAUGGAGGAAACUCUGACGCAGCCAUGCCGCGUGAGUGAAGAAGGCCUUAGGGUUGUAAAGCUCUUUCAGACGUGAUGAUGAUGACAGUAGCGUCAAAAGAAGUUCCGGCUAACUUCGUGCCAGCAGCCGCGGUAAUACGAAGGGAACUAGCGUUGUUCGGAUUUACUGGGCGUAAAGAGCAUGUAGGCGGAUUGGACAGUUGGAUGUGAAAUCCCGGAGCUCAACUCCGGAACUGCAUUCAAUACUUCCAGUCUAG
rnacentral:rRNA from 1 species